AGCAGUGUAGGAUAGUGGUUAGGAAACUGGGCUUGUAACCCAGAGGUUGUGGGUUCAAUUACCAGCUGGGUGU
rnacentral:tRNA from 1 species